rnacentral:rRNA from 1 species
CCUGGAAACAGAUGCUAAUACCGGAUAACAACAGAUGAUGCCUAUCAACUGUUUAAAAGAUGGUUCUGCUAUCACUCUUUGGAUGGACCUGCGGUGCAUUAGCUAGUUGGUAGGGUAACGGCCUACCAAGGCUAUGAUGCAUAGCCGAGUUGAGAGACUGGUCGGCCACAUUGGGACUGAGACACGGCCCAAACUCCUACGGGAGGCAGCAGCC